ensembl:lncRNA
CUCGUGCUUAAAUAUGCGUCAAACCGGUUAUGAAGAAAUAAAACAUCAACACUCAGUGACAGAAACAUCAUAAUGAUUAAGUCUGCAGAACCAUGACUUGGUCUGUGCUGUUGUUCUUGGUACUGAUGAUGUUACUGCCAUUAAACAGGGGAGUCAGUGCAGCCUCCUCACUGCACAUCACCAUAGAAUUUCAAAAUGAGACCAUGAGCAGUGGACUAACAACCAACCAACCAAGUUCUACAGCUUCAACAAAUUGUUCAGGUGACCAUUUGCUUCGCUCGAUGUUGUGGAUGCAGCAUGUCCAUGGGAGCAUCCUUUCCAAUAUCAGUUCUGAGAAGGGUUUUUACCUGGAUUUUGUUUACUCAGCAAUUCACAAUCUAACAUCUACUCCACCACAACCUGUGACCCCUUUCACACACUGUAUUCCUCCUACAACAAAGAACCCAACAGAAACUAGAGGUAAAGUUUGCUCUCUGAUCAUGUUGUCACUUCAUUAAGCCUGUGAUGAUAAAAAGAUGUAAAACUGUUGCUGACUAUAGAGAAUAAAGCCGUGACUGUGUUUUAUCA